UGUCAAUGGGAAGAUGACAGCAAAAUGG
rnacentral:piRNA from 1 species